UAUAAGGACAGUCCAAUUGCUUGCUAUUGAUGAAUGGACGGAGGCAGUAAGGAAGAAUAAGAAAACAUAAGAAAAUCUUCCUACUGCUCAGAAGCCGAGUUUGUACUUUAGAAAGCGUUGUCUUAAGGACAACGCCAACGAAUUUAUAUUCUCUGUAAUAAUCAUUUAAUUUACAACGCAACGUACUCUAGUGAUUUUUUUCCCCCAUCUCUUUUCAUUUUGUACUGGAAUUUCACAGGUACGAAAAGAAGGACUUAAAAGGACAAGGGCAUUGUGUUUAAUAAAGUCUGCAUUUUCAAGGCAGAGCUACAACCACAACCAGGCGAAUCACCGAACCAAGGAAUAUUAGUCGAGAACUUAUUGACGCAGUUUUUUUCUUGAAUUAAAAAAUAAUAAUAAUAAAAUGCCUGGACGUAAUACAAAUUGUGCCGACAACGUUUUUAUGAUUUCACUAUAUCUGGGGUUGGCCUUGUUCAUUGUCAAUGUGUCUGGAGAAUGUGACUACCCUCCAGAUUAUCCCAAUGCCGUACUGAAAGAAGAACAUCAAACUCAAGGACCACCUGACUUUGUAGAGGGGUUUAAAAUCACUUAUACAUGUCAGAGUGGGUAUGUACCGAACGGUGGAUCUCCAAAAAUCACUUGUACCAGUUCACAGUGGUCACCUCUGACCUUGGUGUGUGAACGCCGAUCAUGUGGAAAUCCAGGAGAGAUACUUAAUGGACACUUUAAUACUGAUGAGGGUGUUCUUUUUGGAGACAAGGCUUAUGCUGUUUGUAAUGAAGGAUACCAGUUGGCAGGCAAUGGUGUCAGAAACUGUCGCGCUACUGGCUGGGACGGUGCCAUUCCUAUAUGUGAAAGUGUAAAGUGUCCAAACCCUCCAUCGAUUGUAAAUGGUGAAAUCACAAACCCACCUCAGGGAACUGUCACGUUUGGCACGUCAUUUACCUACAUGUGUAGUAAAGGGGUUCUGGUGGGUAAUAGUGAGCUUGUUUGCACCAAAUAUGGAAACUACAGUAGUGAUCCUCCAACAUGUAAAGAUCACAAAGGCUGCCCUUCUGUUCAAGUGGAAAAUGCCAUUAAGACAGCUGGAUUUGGACCAGUUUAUAAAUAUAAGGAUUCCAUUACCUUUGCUUGUAAUCCUGGGUAUAUUCUUAAAGGCACUGCCACUGUUAACUGUGGAGUAAAUGAAACUUGGGAACCUCAACUUCCGACUUGUGAAAAAGCUCCAACCACACCAACAAUAACCACCACAAGCGCACAAGUGCCUCCAGCGCCCUCUCCUGGAAUUUCAUCAGCUCCUGGACUGACUACGGUAAAGACAACUGCUUCUGGACCAGCAGGCUCAAGCGUUCCUACACACAAUAGACCACAGACCCUUAUAAAAUCACUGCAGCUUUAACUGAAAUCCAGCACAAAGCGGUGCUGGCCGAGGUCCACGGCAAUAUGGCUACUGACUUCGCUAAGAUCAGUCUGUCCCGGACAUCAGGAAAUCCUCUUCUCCUCCUCGCAGUGCUGCUGCUUAUUAAAUGAAUGUUGUUCAGCUGAACAGGAUUCUCUCCAGUGGUGUGCAUCAGUGCAGGCACUAUGAUUUUUAUUUUUAUUUCACUGACAAUUAAAUUGUGUGCACCACUAACUACAUACUGUAUAAAGACUGUACAGCAGUAACAGAUUUUGUAAUCCUGUGAACUGUAAAAUGUUCGUACAGCUUUGGCUUAAAAAAAGGCGUAAAUUAUAUGUAUAUAAAUAAAUGUAUAUUGUAUAAAUUAUUGGAUUUUUAUAGGAACACCUAUUCUUGCAAGAGUUUGUAAAUUGAAUUGUAUUCUUCUGUUAGCUCAAUGUCCAAUAUGCAUAUACAUCGCACUCCAACCUAACCCACUGUGCCGUAAUUCAUAUCAAACAAACAGAUCAAAUGUGCCUUAUUCUGUUUGUGAACUGGGGGGGUACAAUCGCUGGCUAAGGGCAUUGGAAAUUUCCACUCAGGGAUCUUGCAUAUUUAGCCUUUCCCUGAAUCAUCACUUUGCUUUUGUGGAAUUUUUUUUUUCUCUGUACUGAUUUAAUAAAAAUGGGUUUAAAAAAAAAAAAAAA